GAAGAAGAGGGAGGGAAGAGUGCUGAGAAAGUUGAUUUAGCAAAACAGAUUUUGUCUCCACCUAGAAGGACCAGUUGUGCCCAGAGAACCUUCUCUGUCUCCUCUAACUGUGGGAUAAAAGGAGAUUUCCACAAAAGCGAAUCAGGGACAUGGCCCAUCUCUUAAGAAGGAGGCUCUGAGAGGACAAGAACCCGGAUGCAGCGCGUGGCAUGAGGCAGUUUCGGGAUGCCCUUGUCAGGCAGAGGAUGGCUCAGUGGCCUCUGGCCCAGCUAAGAUUUCAUGAACUUUACUCCUGGUCCCGCUCCCAAAUUAGACACUGGAGAUAAUGGAUCACUAUACUGCACUGAAGACUCGGAUGGUUUGAGCCGCUGGAGCCCCGCAAAUUCAGGCACCUCCUCCACCCCAGGCCACUCUACUCCCCAGUGCUGCCUCCCACACCCAUCCGGUUGUGCGGGACACUCCCCGCGUUUCUUCGGCAAGUCUCAUCGGGCUCCCUCCUUCUUCGAUAAAGGUGAAGGGUGUGGGGUUUUCUGUGCUUGCUCAGGAAGUUGAGUCCUGGUGAAACGUGUCAGGCUGCCAUUUCCCAGGCUGGAAGAUUUUCCCAGGACGAGGAUGAAUAGGCCAUGAAAGUGCACACUCUUACCCGACAGCCCGACCCAGGUGCCAGGCUUCUGACUCAGGACCAUCUGUGGGUGCCAGUGCAGGGAGGUGAGUCACUGCAGCCUUGCUCAAUCCCCCUGCAGAGGUCAGCUCCUGGGCCCCAAAAGUUGCUCCAGGAUGAAAGCAACUCCACUGCUUUCAGUGAGACUAAAAUCCUGGUCAUCUGCGAUCUGCAGAGUCACAGACAUGUAACCCAAAUAAAGAUCUGGAUGAUGGUCUGGCUCCUAGUUUGGUGAUACUAGCAUGUUUGAGCACUGGGGAACUCUAUCUUAACAUGCGGCCAAUAGUUACUGCCCUCACAGGAUUUGGGAAGGAAAAAGCAAGACAGUAUUUGAUAUGUAGAGAUGGUCAAUGAAGUAGCAUGACCAAGAACCAGAAACACUAGAAAUGAACCAUCUGGGCAGCCUGUGGAACAGUGAGGUUAGCUUUCACUGCUGUUGUUUGUUUAUCUGAUGUUAUUCAGAGUUGAUUUCUUUUGUUUUAAACCAUUAACCACUCAGGAUCCUCUUAACAUCUUC
rnacentral:lncRNA from 1 species